AUCGCUUCUCGGCCUUUUGGCUAAGAUCAAGUGUAGUAUCUAUUCUUACCAGUUUAAAAACAAAUGCUAAUGUGUUAUCUUGGUAGUCACUCGUAUCUUCUGUUGAUUCUAUCCUUCACCUAUGGUUGCUCUCAAAUAGUGCCUGCUUUGGAAAACUGUUCUUUUUCUUACGCUUGGCGGAUCGUGAAUUGCAUCA
ensembl:snRNA U2 U2 spliceosomal RNA